AGAGUUUGAUCCUGGCUCAGAAUGAACGCUGGCGGCGUGCCUUACACAUGCAAGUCGAGCGAGGCGCGGGGGCAACCCCGCAGUCGAGCGGCGAACGGGUGAGUAACACGUGGAUAACCUGCCCUGAGGCGUGGAACAACCAGGGGAAACUCUGGCUAAUACCGCAUGAUACCGAGAGGUCAAAGGGGGCUCGCAAGGGCUCUCGCCACAGGAGGGGUCCGCGUCCGAUUAGCUAGUUGGUAGGGUAAUGGCCUACCAAGGCGACGAUCGGUAGCCGGCCUGAGAGGGUGAUCGGCCACACUGGAACUGAGACACGGUCCAGACUCCUACGGGAGGCAGCAGUGGGGAAUUUUGCGCAAUGGGCUAACGCCUGACGCAGCAACGCCGCGUGGAGGAUGAAGGUCUUUGGAUUGUAAACUCCUGUCAGCAGGGAAAAAGCGAAUUGGCCUAAUACGCCAGUGAGUUGAUUGUACCUCAGAGGAA
rnacentral:rRNA from 1 species